CACAAUCUCUCAAGCACAGCUUGGUCUUGGGCUUCGCCGCUAACCCGGCGGGUCUUAAAAUCAGUGGCGGUGCCGUCGGGCCCUGAGCGCAGUAAUCUCUCUCGCUAUAGGGUCCCGGUGGAUGCUGGCCAGUAACCCCCAAUUUUCUAU
rnacentral:misc_RNA from 1 species